GAGCUCGUCUGGUAUUUGAACCUGGGACCUCUCGCACCCAAAGCAAAAAUCAUACCCCUAGACCAACGAGCU